rnacentral:tRNA from 1 species
GCCCUUAGCUCAGUUCGAUCAGAGCGUGCGGCUACGAACCGCAAGGCCGGGGGUUCGAGUCCCUCAGGGC